rnacentral:sRNA from 1 species
CUCUCCUCUAAAGAUGAGUCUGGAAGUCUGCAGUCAGAAGCUUCCCUUCCACGAAGCCUCACCCCCAUCUCUCAUCACCCACAAUCUUCUUUUUUGACUUUGGCUUCACGUCCAGACUUUCCCCUUUCAGUUUCCAGUGGACUCCGCAUACUUACCCCAUACCUUCUGGAUCACCUUAUUGGAUGCUUUUUAUCAGAGCCUGGUCUGCUUCUUUGUGCCUUAUUUUACCUACCAGGGCUCAGAUAUUGACAUCUUUGCAUUUGGAAACCCCCUGAACACAGCUGCUCUGUUCAUCAUUCUCCUCCAUCUGGUCAUUGAAAGCAAGAGUUUGACUUGGAUUCACUUGCUGGUCAUCAUUGGUAGCAUCUUGUCUUAUUUUUUAUUUGCCAUAGUUUUUGGAGCCAUGUGUGUAACUUGCAACCCACCAUCCAACCCUUACUGGAUUAUGCAGGAGCACAUGCUGGAUCCAGUAUUCUACUUAGUUUGUAUCCUCACGACGUCCAUUGCUCUUCUGCCCAGGUUUGUAUACAGAGUUCUUCAGGGAUCCCUGUUUCCAUCUCCAAUUCUGAGAGCUAAGCACU